AUGGUAGCUCUCAAGCUUGAUUUCCGCAAAGCCUUCGAUACGGUGAGCUGGCAGUGCUUACAUGCUAUAAUGGAAGCCUGAGGUUUUCCUCGGAGAUGGAUCAGUUGGGUUUCUUCGCUUCUCUCAAUAGCUAGUUCGAGAGUUAUGGUUAAUGGUGAACUUGACGAUCCUUUCAAGGCUAAAAAAGGACUAAGGCAGGGUGAUUCCACAUCACCAUACUUGUUCAUCCUGGUUGCAGAUGUGCUGCAGAGGCUAUGA
rnacentral:rRNA from 1 species